UCACCGGAUAAGACAGCUGGAUGAUAGCCGGGCUGAAGACUCUGCUUGACUAGCUGAGAGGAGGUGCAUGGCCGUCGUCAGUUCGUACUGUGAAGCAUCCUGUUAAGUCAGGCAACGAGCGAGACCCACGUCCACAGUUGCCAGCAUACCCUCCGGGGUGAUGGGUACACUGUGGAGACCGCCGCUGCUAAAGCGGAGGAAGGAAUGGGCAACGGUAGGUCAGUAUGCCCCGAAUCUCCCGGGCUACACGCGGGCUGCAAUGGUUGGUACAAUGGGCAUCUACCCCGAAAGGGGAAGGAAAUCUCUUAAAGCCAAUCGUAGUUCGGAUUGAGGGCUGCAACUCGCCCUCAUGAAGCUGGAAUCCGUAGUAAUCGCGUUUCAACAGAACGCGGUGAAUACGUCCCUGCUCCUU
rnacentral:rRNA from 1 species